rnacentral:tRNA from 1 species
AUUUAAAUAAUUUAAUUAAAAUAUUGAUUUGUGGUUUCAAAAAUAUGAGUAAUUCAUUUUAAGUU